rnacentral:rRNA from 1 species
UACCCACGCAAUGGGAUGCGAAUCUCGAAAGCCUGUCCCAGUUCGGACUGGAGUCUGCAACCCGACUCCACGAAGUUGGAUUCGCUAGUAAUCGCGCAUCAGCCAUGGCGCGGUGAAUACGUUCCCGGGCCUUGUACACACCGCCCGUCAAGCCAUGGGAGCCGGGGGCGCCUGAAGUCCGGGACCGCGAGGACCGGCCUAGGGCGAAACUGGUAACUGGGGCUAAGUCGUAACAAGGUAGC